CCUACGGGAGGCAGCAGUAAGGAAUAUUGGUCAAUGGAGGCAACUCUGAACCAGCCAUGCCGCGUGCAGGAAGACUGCCCUAUGGGUUGUAAACUGCUUUUAUCCGGGAAUAAACCUGCUUACGUGUAAGUAGCUGAAUGUACCGGAAGAAUAAGGAUCGGCUAACUCCGUGCCAGCAGCCGCGGUAAUACGGAGGAUCCAAGCGUUAUCCGGAUUUAUUGGGUUUAAAGGGUGCGUAGGCGGCCUGUUAAGUCAGGGGUGAAAGACGGUAGCUCAACUAUCGCAGUGCCCUUGAUACUGAUGGGCUUGAAUGGACUAGAGGUAGGCGGAAUGAGACAAGUAGCG
rnacentral:rRNA from 1 species